GGGCUUACGGGGGAACUAGGGAGCAUUUGUAUGUUAAUAAAAAGGACCCGGAUCAGUGAAGAUUCUCCUUAGUUUCCAAAUUUUUUCAAAAGAAUUAUUUCUAGCAUAACUAACAUUACAUAGUGUAUUGAUUGGCUUUAUUACUUCAAAAUCAAAGAUAUAAAUAACAAAUUCUCUGCCAAGUAAUGGCUCGGAUCGCCUUCAAUAAUACAUAUAUAUGUCACUGUUUAUAUAAUUGUUGCCAGACCGUAACGUUGCUAUAGGAGCCAAGACAAUUUAAAAGCUUUUGUUGGCCAUUCACCGUGAAUGUUUUCUUCAUUUUCUGCGGCUCGCAGCACUUGAACAACCCCCUAUGUACACGAGAGAAUAUAAUAUUUGGUUUACUGCAUGGCUGUGUUCCCACCAUUAUAAUAUUCUGUCAAUUGAAUGAUACUCGAACGGAGCAGGAUUUUUUUCAAAACGACUGACCGGUUGAAAAUUAUCAUCAGACGUAUGCAUCGCUCCUCCAACCAACAUACUGGCACAGUGGCACAGUCUCAAUCUUAAAAUUUGGCUUUUCCUUUUCAUUCUUUUUUGUACAAUAUUUUAAUUGAUCACAACGUUAUCUUUGAUUUUGAUGGUCCUUCCUGAAACGGCAUUCGCGAGCCAGAUGCCAAAACUUUCCACAUUUUCUACAGUGUAAUGGCCAAUAAUUUUGAACAUGUUGCCAUAGCUAAACCAACCCUGUUUUUUCCCUUCUUUAAUAUGGUGGUCACCAUACGAUUCAAGGUAAUAAGUGAUCUUUUGUGCGCGUAACAGCUAUUAAAUGAAGAUUACACUAGUA